rnacentral:lncRNA from 1 species
GUGUGUGUUUGUAAAAACAGCUCUGCUCAGAAGUUUGGAGCACACACCCUCUACAGCUGACUGACAGCUUCUCUUGAACACACACACACACACACACACACACACACACACACACACACACACACACACACACACACACACACACACACACACACACACACACACACACACACACACACACACACACACACACACACACACACACACACAUUUAAAUACCCUCAUAGGAAGACUUGCUGUAGUCAAAUUGAAUCAUCACUCUCAGUGAUACCACCAUGAGACGCUCAGGGCUGUUGAUUUUGGGCUUUGUCCUAAAUGUGUCUCACUGCUUGGACAUGCUGGAUAUGGAGGAGGACAUGGAGAUUGACCGUAACGUCAUUGGGAUCCUUGGAGAGGACAUCUUCCUCCGCUGUCAGUACCUGGGACAGAAUGACAUCACAGACGCCUCAUGGAAACGCCCAGACUCUAGAAUGAAGAGAUCGAUGAAGAAAUUAACAGGCUACAAGAACAACAAGGCUUUCAGCAAAGACCCAGACUUCUCCGCCCCAGCCUCUCCCACCAAUCUGACUGUCAAGAUGAGGGUGUCUACUCUGGAGGCCCAGGGGGAGUACACAUGUGUGUUUGCCACUGAUGAAGAGGAGAUCACUAACAGCAUGUUUCUCACUGUCCUGGCUCGACCUGAUAUCCACACAGUGGUGACAGAGGACACAGACAACGCUACCCACUACCAGUCAGUCACAUGCUCAGCUACCAAUGGUAAACCUAUGGCUCUGAUUCGCUGGGAGAUCAACAGCAGUCCUCCUACUGACAACUCCUCUGUGGAGAUGAGGAACACCAGUUAUACCAAUGGCACUGCCACUAUGACCAGCAUCCUCCGCUUCCCUACCCACCUACAGGACCAGGACAGGGUGACCUGUGUGGUCCAGCACCCAACCCUGCCUGACCCCACCACACAUGUCACAGUGGGGGUGGAGACCUUCAUGGCUCCCAAUGUGACCAUUGAGACAUACCUGGUUCUAGAGGACGGAGAGGAGUUCUGGGUGGUCACCUGUGGUGCUGCUGGAGGACGACCCCGAGCUGACAUCACCCUGGUGCUGCCCAAUCAGGAGACCAGUUCCAUGCUACAGAAGGAGGUUGUCAUGGAUGCAGCAGACACAUUGGUCAGGUCAUACCGCUUCCCAGCUGAGCUUCAUGAAGGGGAAAACAUCACCUGCCUGUUUGACCACCCCAAAUUUCCACACAGAGAGCUACGGACCACCACUUUGCCGGCAUUCUAUCUGUCUGCUGUUCGGCUGCUGAACCCAGGGUUGGCAGACAGCAGCAACAAGCGCCAGGCUGUAGAGUCAGUGGUGCUGGUGGAAGGACAGGGCAACAUCACCAUCGAGCUAGAGGUCGUUGGGGAUGUACCACGUUACAGUAUCGUAUGCACCAAAGAAGAGCAGUCUCUCCCUGAGGGUGUGGAGGUGAUUGGCAGUGUUCUAACCCUGCAGGGUCCUGUGGAGCUCCACCAUGCAGGGCUGUAUGAGUGUGAGGCCUCCUACUACAGCCACAGGGCAUCUGUACUGCUGGACAUUGCCGUUAACCCACAAGUCAAGCAGUCCGUGACUGUUCCUCCCAGCAUAAGGAUUGAUGUUCAGGAUAGACUGGGUGACAGGUUCAUUGAGUGCCUGGCUGCAGACUCUGUCCCUGUUGCCAAUGUGUCCUGGGUUCUACCUGAGGGUGUGUCUGGGCCCUCCUGGUCCAGUCUCACAUCCCAUAAUGGAACCUACUCUGUCAGCAGUGUGUUAGUCCUGCCUGCCUGCUCAGCCCAGGAGCUCAGUAUGGAGUGUGUGAUAGAUCAUUCUGUGUUUGUGUUGCCAGAAAGAAGACAGAUAACUCUCCAUGUGUGUGCUCCUCCUAACAUCACCAUCCAGUCCAGCUCUGAGUGGGAGGAAGACGUAGCAUACACACUGGUGCAGUGCACUGUGGACAGUGUUGGACCUGCUGCCACUAUCUCCUGGAGUGUUGGAGACAGUGACAAUAGUACCAGUCAGCUUAAAGAGGGGCAGGAGCAGGUUCAGGGGCAGCCUGAGCACCAUGCCAAUGGCUCUGUGACGGUCUGUAGUGUGUUGAGGCUCCCCACUUCCAUAUUCUCUGGUCAGAAUGUCACCUGUGUGGUGGAUCAGCUGGGUCUUGAGAGGCCAGAGAGAAGAGGGAUACUGCUGCGUGGACUGGAGUCCCCUGUGAUGCGUGUUUUUGUUGCGAGGCAGAGCAGAUCUCUGUGGCUGGCUGUGUGUGAGUACAGAGGGGACGGGAUCAGAGCACACCUCUCCUGGGUUCUACCUGACAACACCACAGGCCACAUCUUCUUCCGCUCUGGGUAUGAAGGUGUGAGAGUGCUAACCAACCUCACCUAUGAGUUCCCACUUGCCCUCCACGAGGGACAGGACCUGAUUUGCCUCAUUCAAAAUCACCAUGGACUUAAGGAGCGGAGGACAGUCCAUGUCCCCAGAUACUACAUCUCAUCUGUCAGAGUACUGAACCAAACCACUCCCCUGUACAAACCUUAUGGAGAUGAGUUCGUUAUACACCGAAUGUCCCUAAAGGAGAAUUUCCAAAACCAGAGGAUCCUGCUCAAAGUCUAUGGCAGUGUACCAACUUACAACCUCACCUGUCACAGAAAUGAUGGCUCAUUGGUCCAGAUGGAUGGCGGAGCUCUGUUGUUCCAAUCAAAGGUCACGGAGCAGGAUGCGGGCCUCUACACCUGCCACGCCUCUUUCUACCACCAUAAGGCCUCAGUCCUCAUUCAAGUGGAGGUCACCAGUGAAAAUCAACAGCUCAUGAUGGUCUUCAUCGUCUGCUUCUCCUCGGCUGCGGCCAUCACGAUCCUCCUCAUCGUCACUUUGUGUGUUUUCUGCAAAAUAAAUGGAGGAGACCGCCCAGCAUCUAAGUCCUGUAAGAAGCGAGAGUCGCUGGCGCCCCUGACCUCUCUGACCCAGGACCUGUGCUCUCCAGAGUUGAGGAAGGGGAAGGCAGCAGUGACAGUACCAGGAGGAGGAGGCCAGGAGUACAACCAGCUGCUCAGCUACUCUAUUGUCAUUGAUGCCAGAUCCACUGUGUAAAUAACAGGGUGCAUCCCCUACUGCCACCCUAUUCCCUGUAUAGAGCACUACUUGUGCACAAUAUAGACUGGUUUAUUUAAUUUGGUAGGUAAAAAAAAAAAACAUACUCAGUAAAUGCAUUUUAAAAAACUUGACGAGGAUAUCACAAAAGUCAGAGACUUAUUUCCAUUGAGGUCCCUAAAUUCCAUGGUGCAAAAACAUUACAACAUCACAUACAGUUGAAGUCAGAAGUGUACAUACACCUUAGCCAAAUACAUUUAAACUCAGUUUUUCACAAUUCCUGACAUUUAAUCCUAGUAAAAAUUCCCUGUCUUAGGUCAGUUAGGAUCACCACUUUAUUUUAAGAAUGUGAAAUGUCAGAAUAAUAGUAGAGAGAAUGAUUUAUUUCAGCUUUUAUUUCUUUCAUAACAUUCCCAAUGGGUCAGAAGUUUACAUACACUCAAUUAGUAUUUGGUAGCGUUGCCUUUAAAUUGUUUAACUUGGGGCAAACUUUUUGGGUAGCCUUCCACAAGCACAAUAAGUUGUGUGAAUUUUGGCCCAUUCAUCCUGACAGAGCUGGUGUAACUGAGUCAGGUUUGUAGGCCUCCUUGCUCGCACAUGCUUUUUCAGUUCUGCCAACAAAUUUUCUAUAGGAUUGAGGUCAGGGCUUUGUGAUGGCCACUCCAAUACCUUGACUUUGUUGUCCUUAAGCCAUUUUGCCACAAUUUGGAAGUAUGCUUGGGGUCAUUGUCCAUUUGGAAGACCCAUUUGCGACCAAGCUUUAACUUCCUGACUGAUGUCUUGAGAUGUUGCUUCAAUGUAUCCACAUAAUUAUCCUUCUUCACACUUUUUUAUGGCGGUUUUGGAGCAGUGACUUCUUCCUUGCUGAGCGGCCUUUCAGGUUAUGUCGAUAUAGGACUCGUUUUACGGUGGAUAUAGAUACUUUUGUACCUGUUUCAUCCAGCAUCUUCACAAGGUCCUUUGCUGUUGUUCUUAGAUUGAUUUGCACUUUUCACACCAAAGUACGUUCAUCUCUAGGAGACAGAACGCGUCUCCUUCCUGAGCGGUAUGACGGCUGCGUGGUCCCAUGGUGUUUAUACUUGUGUACUAUUGUUUGUACAGAUGAACGUGGUACCUUCAGGCGUUUGAAAAUUGCUCCCAAGGAUGAAUCAGACUUGUGGAGGUCUGCAAUUUUAUUUCUGAGGUCUUGGCUGAUUUCUUUUGAUUUUCCCAUGAUGUCAAGCAAAGAGGCACUGAGUUUGAAGGUAGGCCUUGAAAUACAUCCACAAAUACACCUCCAAUUGAUUCAAAUUAUGUCAAUCAACCUAUCAGAAGCUUCUAAAGCCAUGGUAUAAUUUUCUGGAAUUUUCCAAGCUGUUUAAAGGCACAGUCAACUUAGUGUAUGUAAACUUCUGACCCACUGGAAUUAUGGGUCAGAAGUUAAAUAACCUGUCUGUGAACAAUUGUUGGAAAAAUGUCUUGUGUUAUGCACAAAGUAGAUGUCCUAACUGACUUGCCAAAACUAUAGUUUGUUAACAAGAAAUCUGUGGAGUGGUUGAAAAACGAGAUUUAAUGACUCCAACCUAAGUGUGUGUAAACUUCCGACAACUGUAGAUACAGAUACAUUACAUAGAUAGACAUUUUUUUUUUCAUUAGCAAGCUUUUGACUGUAGGCAACCACAGGCUUAUGCUAUAUGUCAGAGAACACUCAGAUGGGUCUGGUGCCAGGAUAUUAAAAUGCAUUAUUUUGUGAAUUUUUCACGAUUAUUUGUUUUGUUUAUUAGUGUAUUAUUAUGUAUGUCAUGUUUUGGUGUUUUCAAUAAUCGUAAUAUGUUGUAAAGAAAUGUUUUGUAAAACUUCUAGAAAUGAUGUUGAGCGUAGCAACUGUUUGUUUUACUGUUUUGUCAUGCUAAACUCUGAAUGUUGUUCAAUUUGGUUAUCUAAUGUUGUAAAAUCCAGAGCAUUAUCAUUAAAGUUACUGUAAAUGUGUAUCUUGUUAUUGAAACUGCCUUGUUUGACAGGUUUAAGACUAAAUUAAUUGACACACACAUAAGUGUGUGCGCGCGCACAAUUUAUUAUGAGCAUUUAUUCAUGCAUGGACAAAAACUAUAUUUCACACUCCAAUUACUUAUUUAGCAUCUACUAGCGCCCCCCUGUGGAACAUACGAGAUACCACAACAUGGGCCAUAAAAAUUGACGUAACGUCCCAUGUAACUAUGGGAACGAGACCUACUAAUAUUUUGCCGUGGACCAAGUUUGAAAUGUUAGGUAGCUAAGUUAGAUAGUUAAUAAAGCUAGUUAGCCCUUUUCCCAUCUAAAUGGACAGUUAUAUAUUCAUGCAAGUUACCGAGCUAGCUCCCAUAAGAUCAACUUUUACACGCAGUGAUUUUUUUUUUGCAUUCGAGCCCUCAUUGCUAACUGUAACGUUAGCUAACUAACAGUUGGGUAUGAAAGCUGUCAGAG